GUGUGUGUGUGUGUGUGUGUGUGUGUGUGUGUCUGUCAUGUACUCGUUGCAGAAUAAACAUGACUGUGAUGAUACUCCCUCUGGCAUCGUACAUCACACGGACAUGCAGGUCCCCAUCUACUUCAGUUGUUUAGGAGGAGUGCUGCAACGCUGUUUCGCUGUGAAGCUCCAGAAGCGAUUUGUGGAUCAUGAAAGUUCACCUGGCUUUCAACCAGCAUGUGUAUAAAGAUAAUGAGAGGAGCACCAAACACUCUCCCAUGCCAGCUCAGGGAAUAAUCAAGCUCAGCACAGGAGCCAAAUCCAUUUGAUGAAGGACAGUCUCAGACAAAAAUGACUGAGGCGCAACAAAAAGGGCAUUGUCCAUGUUGUUGAGGACAAACUUCAAAACAAGAGGCUAAACACAAUGCCCUGACCUCCGAGGUUAAGCACACAAAGGAAGGACGUUUUAGAUUGGCCGCCGUCACAUGACCGGCCUCUCAAACUCUACCAUAAAAAAAAUGUGAAGAAGCGCCGGGUCGUAUAAGUGAGAUAAACCCAUCAGCACGACGAUCCGUCAUGGAUAAAUCUAAACACGCUGCACCUUUGUGGGUUUAUGAGGCACUGAGCUGACAGAGUUGUGCUAACAUAAACCAGAGCGCAGCAAUAGUCCUCCUGGAAGGGAGGAAAGACAUAAAGAAUGAUCUGUACACUGAUGUAGAUAAAUAUUUGUAUUCUAAAUAUUCCAGCUAUUGCAAUUGAAUACAAUGAAAUAUGGUGAUUUAUUCAGGCUGUGCAGAUCCUUUAACCCUCCUGCAUGUCCACCUGUUGCAUUUAUGCUUAAUGGGACAUCAAAGUUUGUGUUAUAUGUCAGUGAU